AGAGGGGGCAAGCGUUGUUCGGAAUUACUGGGGCGUAAAGGGGCGCGUAGGCGGCCUGCUAAGUCGAACGUGAAAUACCCCCGGGGGGGCUCAACCCGGGGGAACUGCGUCCGAUACUGGGUGGGCUUGAAUCCGGGAGAGGGAUGUGGAAUUCCAGGUGUAGCGGUGAAAUGCGUAGAUAUCUGGAGGAACACCGGUGGCGAAGGCGGCAUCCUGGACCGGUAUUGACGCUGAGGCGCGAAAGCCAGGGGAGCAAACGGGAUUAGAUACCCCGGUAGUCCUGGCCCUAAACGAUGAAUGCUUGGUGUGGCGGGUAUCGAUCCCUGCCGUGCCGAAGCUAACGCAUUAAGCAUUCCGCCUGGGGAGUACGGUCGCAAGGCUG
rnacentral:rRNA from 1 species